UACAACUCGAAGGGCUUCGAGUCGACUUUCGCGACUCUUACUUCCGCCACGGUUUCGAGUGAAAUCGUGCACGAUUGACGCGCGCUCGUGUAGCGAAGCUUAAGUUUAAUUGAGACGUCGAAGUAUGUUUACGCGAUCCGUAUGUUUAGAAUACCGUGUCCCGUGGAGCCGAACUGUGAAACAUUAGAUAGUGUGCGUGUAUAUAAGCGAACGUGGUUGAACGGUUGUGUGAGCACGCAACGGCAUAAAUGUAUUUACGAUCCAUCGUAACCUUUGUGAGCAGUUGGAUACAACAUGGAUGCGACGGAAAACACGAGUUCCUGCGUUCUCGCGUUGCUACCAACUCUCUCCUACGGAUCGCAGGUUAGCGCAAUCGCAAAUACAACGAUCGUUCAGCUCUACUGGUCGUGCAGCUAAUUUUUCCAACGACGUAAUCGGACUUACAGCAAGUGAAGCGACGUCGUCGUUUCAGGUGUUUCCCCGUGACCGGUCAGACGUAGAUGCGUUCGUUAAACUCGAAACGUGACUGCACCGGUCGAUAGUGAGAGGGACAGAAGCAGGAUCGAAGAAGCGAGAGAACGCGGAAAGCUGAAAAUCCGCAUAUUCACAAAGAGCACGCACUCUCCUAAUCGCAUUAACUGGCGAUGGGGAUCGGUCAAAGGACUUCUUCUCGCUGUUCCGGGAAAGAAACACGGAAGCGAUCGGAAAAUCACGUUUUCUUGUUCGCGCUGCUAAAUUAUUUAAGAAAUCUCAUUGGAAAACGGGUUGGCAGCUGAGUGGUUCUCGUGGAGCGGAAUCAAGAGAUAAGAGUUUAUCGGACAGAUAGGCCGGAAG